rnacentral:lncRNA from 1 species
AAAAUUACCCACACAAAUAAUUUUCUAUACCUAAAUUUUUGGCUUAACUAAUUAAUCGUGAUACAUUAUUCUUAAAGUUUUCCAAACAAAUCAAUUUUUUUUGCUUUUCAAAUAGAAAACCGGGUGAUAUUGGUUCAAAAAGACACUCACAAGAAGUAGGGGUUGAAGUUAGAUGAUAGAAUGAUGAAGAUAAAGAAUUUAAGGAGGAGCUAAAGCGAAAGAAUACAAGUCGAUAGAUUAUGACUAAAAUAUCAUCUAAAAUCGAAAAUAUCAAAAUAAUGCAAGUUGAUAGAAUCAAAUAUCAUCUAAAAUCAAUAGAUCAUGCAUCACCAAGUGGAAGUGGCUUAAGCCUAACCUCUCUUGAGAAGAGGUUUUAAGAAUACAAGUGGAUGGGUUAUGACUCAUCUAAUGCUUAGGCUUUUAGAUGGAAUGAUACUGAUAAAAAAGUUAAAAGUGCUCUCUUAGUCAUCAAUUCCCAAGUAGAAACACAGAGACAUCAAUAGCUCAAAACCACAAGGUAUAAAUGUCAUUGACUGGAUAUUGCAUGCGAUCUUGAUCUUGAGCUUCCAUUACAUCCAAGAUGUAUGUUGCUACAUCAGCCUGGUGGCUCUGUUUAGGCCUCAUGAACCAUGAAAUAACCAACAGUAUUAAGGAGAGUAGAUGGGCCUAAUCGAAACUAAGCAUCAACAUUUAGGCAUCCUUCCUCUUCAUGGAGCUUAUCAUCUCAAUGUGGCCUAUCCACCUCCUCAGUCAGUAGGAUUGGUUGGUCCAUCAAUGUUCUCCUGCCUGCAAUAGGGCUGGUGUCAUGUAAACUGCACCCCAAUUAUAUUGCAAACCCACUCUCAAAUGCUUCCGGGUUUGAGAAAAGGAGAGUCGUCAUUGAAGAUCUAACAUCCAAUCUUGUCUGUGCCUCCUUAAUUUUUCCUUGCCUACAAUUCAAUCCUCUUUCAGUUUUUUGAUGCACACUUCUUCUUAUUAUUACUUCCUUUUCCUGACUAUUUUCCUAUUGUUUGUUUCCCUGCAAGCUAAAAAAAAAAAGAUUGGCCUCAAUCAUUUCAGUAACGAUAUAAAAAUAAAUAAAGAAGUAAUCUUAUCGUGAUACCAAAGGUUGAAACAUUGUUCAUUGUCAACUCCUGAGCACAGAUCUGCAGAAAUCACUAAGAAAAAGAGGAAGAAACAGUUAUUUGUUCAGGACAAUAAAAAAAGACAGUAUCAACAAGCAUCUGUUGUGUGUGUAGUUUAUAACAUUACUUGUGCUUUUCUUUUUGCUCAUAAGAGUAUCCAAAUUGACCAAAUCGAACAUCUUAGCAGCCUAAAUGUUUACGGUAAGUCAUCAUCAUCGUUCUCAUCAUCAUCAUAUUUCAGUCUGAAAUAUAGGCAUUCUUUACUUGAAUAGCAGCUUAUGUCUUAUCUACUGCUGUAAAUGCGUAGUUUUCAUGUGGAAUGAUUUUUUAUCAUCAUGUUUAUGAGAAAAAUAUCUUUGCAGAAUGUGUGAUGUAUUAAUUGUGUGUGAACUAACCACCAUAAUGUCUCAGUAGUGUAUAGAAUUAGAAGCUAAAAAGGUAGAAAGAUUCUGAUUUCAUUCUCAUGAGCAUAUCUACUAUAAUCAUGAGAUUUUUUUUAUAACGAACUUUUUUAUUAGAAGUAGAAAUAUCAUACAAGGCCGAUCGACUAAUGAACCUCUUAAUAAUUCUUUGAUAUAGUAGAAAUUUUUAGAGGACGAGUCUUAGUAUAAUGGUAACGUUACGUCUUUACGAUUUGACCGAUCAAGGUUCGAGAUACAUAAUGCAUAAUAUAUAUAUAUAUAUAUAUAUGUAAUAUUAAAUAAGAUGGCAUUGCACUUCUUCUACUCACAUUCAUUUGAUAAUUGAGUGUAAGGCAUUUAGCAUCUCUGCUAAAUUCAGCUAAGGUGACACUUUCAUGGAUGACAGUGUGAAAGUUGUGUGGCUAAACAUGUCAUCCAAAACUAUACUCCAAAGACAUCAACAUCCUCAACCGCUGUUGCCUGGUUAGGGAGUCGGGUCUCAGUCUCUCUAUUAAAGAUAUUUGAUAGCCUCGGUUUGGGAUGCAUCGACAGCCUUCUCUCUUCCACAAAACCAUCUCAACCUCCAGAAUUAACAACAAGACUUCAAUGGUGACUGCCCAACCAUCUCGCAACCAAGAAACCCUCUCUAAACUGAAGCAUUCCCAACAAUACUGUAGCUAUGGUUUGACUAUCUUCUUCGAAUCAAUGCUGAGAUGUGAAGCUUGGAGUUGCGUAAGCAAUCUAAUCUCUCUCGAUAUGUGGAAUGGGUUGCUCGCACGUAGGCAACAUUGACUCACUUGACAGUGUCAACCAUCAUCUACGUCAGCCUGAGGGUGAUAUUCGAUUUUGAUGACUCAUCUCGCAUCGAUAUGAUUAUCUAUUUUCUAAAGGAAAAGAAAACUUGAUUUCCUAAGAAAAGAUGGUUUUAUUAUGAGGUGCAUAAAUUGUGAACUUGAUCAUCUACAUGAUUCCAGAAUUUUGCAUGGCUUACCAAGAAAACUUGGAAAUGGGUGGUUCUCAAUUAAAGCUAAAGAACUGGAGCUGUAGGAAACUACUACAACCUUUGACAGGCAAUGCAUGAACCCUCACUUGUGUUUGACAACCUUCCCAAUGCCACAUAAAGUAUCAAUCCUCUCGACACCAUUUUCAUGCCUCGACAGCCUCACCCACCCCAUCUUCAUCGCUUCCUUUGCUGCCCCACAGGAUUCUUCGCUCUACUGGUCAGAUCAGGAUUCCCUUUUCCAAGUACAGUGUCCAGCGAUUGGCCUUAAAGAAGGCCGAUAUGUGAGCUUUUCACGUUCCUACCAACAUUUAAUCUGUGGUGAUUCUUAGUCAUACCAAUCGAACGGCUGGAGACGAAGGAAGGCAAGCCAAGGAACUCCCUACCUGCUCCCCCGUCCCCUAUAUGUACCGUUGAUCUCGGCAGUGGUGCCAUCAGAACGAACGGACUUCAACUAGAGGUCGACAUCAUGAACUCCGGCAACCAAACCGCCCUCUUCUCCUACAGCUCCAAUGCUUCCACCACCGCUAAUGUGGAGAUGGCUCGGAUCUUGACGGAGAUCCAGGUCUUGGAGCUCCUCUUUGCCAUCUCCAUAUUUGUGACCAUCCACUCGCUGAGGCAAGGGAGGGUUCGUGGCCUCGCGGUGUGGCCGGUGGUCGGCAUGUUGCCGUCCCUCCUCCUUGGCCUUCGCAAAGACAUGUACGAGUGGAUCACCGGCAUGAUCGACCGUCAGGGCGGCACGUUCAUCUUCUGCGGCCCGUGGUUCACCAACCUUCACUGUGUCAUCACCGCAGACCCUCGAAACUUGGAGCACAUUCUCAAGACCAAGUUCUCUAACUAUCCCAAGGGCGAGUACUUCCGCGACACUCUCAGGGAUCUCCUGGGCGACGGCAUCUUCAACGCCGACGACGAGACCUGGCGCGGGCAGCGCAAGACCGCCAGCCUCGAGUUUCACUCCUCGGCGUUCCGGUCCAUGACGGUGCAAUCCCUGUUGGAGCUCGUCCACUCGAGGCUCCUCCCGGUGCUGGCGGAGGCCCACGAGCACCGGAAGCCUUUCGAUCUCCAGGACGUGCUCCUGCGACUGACCUUCGACAAUGUGUGCAUGAUCGCCUUCGGCACCGACCCGGGCUGCCUGCGCCCGGGGCUGCCGGAGAUACCUUUCGCCAAGGCCUUCGAGAACGCCACCGAGGCAGCCACCAUACGCUUCCUGACUCCGACGUCCAUAUGGAAAGCUUUCCGCUACCUCGACUUCGGGAUCGAGCGAUGCCUCCGGCAGUCCAUAUACCGCGUAGACGAGUUCGCCUACGAGGUGAUCCGGAGGAGGAAGAAGGAGCUCGCAUCGGGCGAGCCAGAAAAGGCAACCAGAUCCGACAUUCUGACGUCGUUCACGAAGCUAAGUGACGAAACCGGGAACCCAUACUCCGACAAGUUCUUGAGAGACAUAUGCGUCAACUUCAUACUCGCCGGCCGCGACACCUCGUCGGUGGCCUUGGCCUGGUUCUUCUGGCUGCUGAGCCAGCACCAGGAGGUGGAGGACAGAAUCCUCAAAGAACUAAGGGAGAUAAUAGCUGAGAGGGAAGGAGAAGGAGAAGGUGAGUUGGUGUUCAAGCCAGAGGAAGUGAAGAAAAUGGAGUAUCUGCAUGCAGCCUUGAGGGAGUCUCUCAGACUGUACCCUUCAGUGCCAGUGGACCACAAGGAGGUACGACUACUACUACAAGACAUUAUAAUCUAUAUAUGAAGUCUUAUUUUACAGACAAUAUACAUUGAAAGAAUAGAGAAUUCCGUACACCUAUCGACGACAGAAAAGAAGCCAAAAAUCGACUCUGACGGCUAUGUCGAUCGUCAACACACGCACAUAUAUUUCUGCUUCUCUCGGUCUCACUUCUCGUCUCAUUUUAGCUUAAAAGAAACGUAUAAGGAAAAAGAACGAAAGCGAUUAAAAGCUAAUUAGUGUCGAUCUUUGACUCUCAGAAGUUUUUGGUGACAGAUUACAGUCGCGUGUCUAUCACGAGAAUUGAAGCUGGUCAAGUCAAGUCAAGUCAAAGGCCAGCCAUAGUCAUUGGAUCUCUGGUUGGACGAGUAGAUCAGCCGGUCAGACAAGAUCAAAAUUUUAAUUUAUUUUUUUGAUAAUUUAAAAAUAAAACAUGAUUAUCUAUUUUUAUUAAAAAUAUAAAUCAUAAAAAUUAUUUUUAAAGAAAAUAUAUUAUAGUAAAAAAAAAAGAAGGACAUACAAGAGAUGAAAAAAAAUGAGAAAUAUAGUAGAGUUUUUUUUUUCUCUCUUUUAUCAAAAUUAGUAAACAUAUUUUAAUUUUUAAGACAUAAAUAAUUUAAGAUGCUGAUUGAUAGAGGCCAACCACAAAUUAGACAUGAGGAGUUGGCCUUUAAAUCUGAACUUAUUGACAAUGAAAGAAAUAUACCAUGAAUGAUGACACUUGGAGAAGUCAACAACACAGUCCAUAGUUUGUUGCACUCUCAUAAUAACUGCUGCAUCUUCUCUAUCUAUCUGUCUCUCUAUCUAUCGGUCUGUCUGUCAAUGUAAUGCAGCGUUGUGUGGACAGGUUGUGGAAGACGAUGUGUUCCCUGAUGGCACGGUGGUGAAGAAAGGAACAAAGGUGCUCUACGCGGUCUACGCCAUGGGAAGACUGGAGAGUAUAUGGGGGAAGGACUGCAGGGACUACAAGCCGGAGCGGUGGCUCAGGAAUGGGCGCUUGGUGAGCGAGUCAGCGUACAAGUUCCCGGCCUUCAACGGGGGGCUGCGGCUGUGCCUGGGGCGGGACUUCGCCUACUACCAGAUGAAGUUCGUCGCCGCAUCCAUCCUGCACCGCUACCGGGUGGAGGUGGCGGCCGACCACCCCGUGGAGCCCAAGAUAGCGCUCACCUUGUACAUGAAGCACGGCCUGCUGGUCACCCUCCGCCGGAGAGACGAAGCUUAGCUCCCCGAGAAGUAAAAGAGUGGAGAAGACGAAUUAAGCCAAGCUAAUGGCGUAGUACCCGUGCAAGUGUGAAAAGUAUGUCGUAGUAUUGUUGUGUUUCUGUGCGAUCGAUAUUGGACGCGUGCAAGUAUGAAAAGUAUGCUGUAGUAUCCCAAGAUUGGAGUGACCGUGAUAGCAAGAAGUAUAUCAUAUCUUUAAUGUCUGUACUUUUAUUUAAUAUCUAUCUAUCUAUCCUCAUUCAAACAAAGGGCUUCGGUGGUCAUAAUGGUUAAUUAAUUAUUUACUGAAACCUACCAUGCAUCUCUUAGGCUUAGCACAGUCAAACAGAGAAACAAUCACAUAGUAUUUUGGAGCUGAAAAUGCUGUAUUUCUCAGUAUAUGAAGUCAGAGCUAAUGCGUUGGAUCGAAAUAAUAGUCUAAAUGAAGGGUUUUUGAAGGGUAAAUAAACACAACCUUAAGAGUCUUAUGAGGAUGGAUAAUAGAGAAUUUUGUAUGGCACGGAUGGGUAAGUGUUGACAUAACAAAUAACAAAGGCUUUAAAUGGUGUGUUCCCUUCGGUGUGUGCCAUCCGUAGGUCAAAAGAAACGCAAGCAUGGAAGCUGUGAUCGUGACAAAUCACAAUUAAUGACCAUCACCCCCACUAUUAAUCAUGCAUACCUUUCCACUUUUAGCGUUUGUUUAGUCAUUAACUUCACUCACCCCUCUCUCUCUCUCUCUCUCUCUACAAUGUAAUGGAGUACCCACCAAAUGUAUGGUCUAAGCGUGUAUGGUUUUCGAUAAUUGUUAGUAUAAAGAUUAGUCAUUGAUACCACAUCUUAAGCAAGGGUUGAAACAAACACUCCAAGAUUAGUAUAGAUAUUAGUCCUUUUUGUCAUCAACAUCAUAAACA